CUCGCUGAACAAGCGUGUGAAUUGCGACAGUGUUUGUUUGCAUGAUCGAUUGCUUGAAUGAUUAGCGGUUUGAAGUUUAAAGUAUAGAGCAAAUAGCAGCAAGCACUUAUAUUUCAAUCGUCGAGUGGAUUAGUUCACCAGCCACUACACAACACAUAGAACUAUGUAUCAUCACAUAAUCGACUACGUCAAUUGGACUGCAUAAAUACGUUUGGUCGGAUUAUAUCUGGACUACUGAGGGUCAUGUUGACCACCCGGUAUUCAACGGUAGUGGCAGGGCCCUAAGGUAAUACGAUUUACGCAGUGAUGUGUAUAGAAAAACACAGAUUCGAUCCGAUAUUUUUGCAAGAAUAAACACACCGUUCGAAUAGACACCGAAACACACCGUGGAAUGUGCAAGAAUCGUUUGGAGUGUGCAAUCAAUCUCGCGCUGCUGAAACGAGGUGCGAACUGACCGGUUGGUGGCGCUCUCCGUAUUCUAAACUCAACUGGAAUUGGACGGAUGUUGCCUCACAUCUCGUUUCACUGCGGAUCGAUUAAUUAAAAUAUCAAAGGCAAAGGCGCCGCAUCGCGGUGGUCUUAAAUCACUGCGAUCCAAUAAUAAAAUGCUAAUCAAAUAAGCUACGUAUAGGUACCGUGACGGUGAGAACCGUCUAAAGUAAGCCUGUACAUACCGUACGUGAACGGUUGAAGUGUGUGUUUAUUUUAUCCUCUCUGCAAUGAAUGGGAUGCAGGUUCAGCUAGGUCUGUUACCUUCAAUUAUAGUCGAAAAGUUUCAGAGUCGAAUUAGAAUUAUUAAUAAAUUUUUAAAUACUUUUAAAAUUUAACGUUAGAGAUGAAA